CCCGUUGAUCCUGCGGGAGGUUGCCACUAUUUGGAUUCGACUAAGCCAUGCAAGUCAAGGGGUCUCCUCGGAGACACCGGCGAAAUGCUCAGUAACACGUUGAUAAUCUGCCUUUAGGUCAGGGAUAGCCUCGGGAAACUGAGAGUAAAACCUGAUAAAAGAUUAGUUCUGGAAUGACUUUUCUUUGAAAAGCAAUGCCUAAAGAUGAGUCAGCGGUCGAUUAGGCUGUUGGUGAGGUAAUGGCUCACCAAACCGAAGAUCGAUACGGGCCUUGAGAGAGGUAGCCCGGAGAAGGACACUGAGAUACUGGUCCUAGCCCUACGGGGUGCAGCAGGCGCGAAACCUUUACAAUGCACGAAAGUGUGAUAAGGGAAUCCAAAGUGCUUAUGUUUUAACAUGGGCUUUUGCCAAGAGUAAAUAUCUUGGAGAAUAAGUGAUGGGUAAGACUGGUGCCAGCAGCCGCGGUAACACCAGCGUCACGAGUGGGAAUCGUAUUUAUUUGGCCUAAAGCGUCCGUAGCCGGUCUGAUAAAUUCAUUGUGAAAUCAUUGUGCUCAACGCAAUGGCGUGCAGUGAACACUGUCAGACUUGAGACUGGAAGGAGCUAGAAGUAUUCUUGGGGGAGCGGUAAAAUGCUAUAAUCCCAAGAGGACUACCUGUGGCGAAGGCGUCUAGCUAGUACAGUUCUGACGGUCAGGGACGAAAGCUAGGGGAGCGAUCCGGAUUAGAUACCCGAGUAGUCCUAGCUGUAAACGCUGCGAGUUAGGUGUUGCAUAUUCCACGAGAAUGUGCAGUGUCGAAGAGAAGUCGUUAAACUCGCCGCCUGGGAAGUAUGGUCGCAAGGCUGAAACUUAAAGGAAUUGGCGGGGGAGCACCACAAGGGGUGCGGCGUGCGGUUUAAUCUAAUUCAACGCAGAGAACCUUACCAGAGGCGACGGCAGAAUGAAGGUCGGGUUGAAGACUCUACCUGACGAGCCGAGAGGUAGUGCAUGGCCGCCGUCAGCUCGUGCCGCAAGGUGUCCUGUUAAGUCAGGCAACGAGCGAGACCUGUAUUCAUAAUUGCUAGCAGCUUCUUCGAAGGACUGAGCACAUUAUGAGGACUGCCCUGGAAACAGGGAGGAAGGUUCAGGCUACGGUAGGUCUGUAUGCUCCGAAUCCCCUGGGCAACACGCGCGCAACAAUGGUAUGGACAAUGGGUUACGACUCCGAAAGGAGAAGUUAAACCUCGAAACCAUACCCAAGUACAGAUUGGGGCUUGCAACCCAGCCUCAUGACGAUGGAAUCCCUAGUAAUCGGAUGUCAACAUCAUCCGGUGAAUAUGUCCCUGCUCCUUGUUCACACCGCCCGUCAAACCACUCGAGCAGGGUUUAGGUGAGUGUUAGCUUUAUUGGUUAAUACGAACCUAAGCUCAGUGAGAUGGGUUAAGUCGUCACAAGGUA
rnacentral:rRNA from 1 species